CGAAGCCCCUAACCCCCAUGUUGUUCAAGGAUCAACUAUACAGACAAGUUUAAGAACUUUUCUGGAAGUGCCUCCUAUGUGCCCUAGCACUUUUUGACAAUGUGUGGGUGUCAAAGUGGAAGUCAUGCUUGGUGUGGUAGGAGGCCGUGAACCAGAAGGCAUGACUAGGUCUGCAGUCAAGUUUGAGACAAAGAGAGUAUAGGCUCUGGAGCAAGAGAGCCUUGAGUUCAAAUCCUGCCUCUACCAUGUCAUAGCCAUAAACUUGGGUAAUUAUUCCAACUUUCCUGAGCCUCGGUUUUCUCAUCUGUCAGUUGGGGUUAAUAAUUGUGGCCACUGUGGUGAGGAUGAUGUGAGUCCCUGCACUUAGUGUGCACUGAGUAAGUGUUGGUUAUUUCCCUUCUCUUGUUUAGCUCCUGUGCAUGGUAUAGUACUGACAUUCAGAAUAAGGCAGUUAAUGGGUAUCUUUUCAUCUCAACCCUGAAGAAGGGGAAAUCAGUGUGCCUUGAGUCCUGGGCUGGAAAUGACAAAGGAGACUGCACAGAUGAGUUUUGAAAUGGAUUUAAAAGUACUUGGAUGGGUGAGAGAACCUGUGUCAGUUGAACUCACUGUCAGGCCUCGGACACCAGGAAUGGCUGAGGGCCAGAAGGAGGACAGACAACAAGGGAAGGAGAAAUGUGGCCAGGAGUACCACUCACUCACCGUCAGAGGAAGCCCUCGGGGAGGGGCUCUUGCUCUGCGGGUUAAUCCUUGGGAAAGGAUACUCCUUAUGCUAUCUUCCCCAUGGCUUCUGCCUUAGGCUCUGGCUCUUCCUGAGAACUGGGUUGUGGCCUCAACUGAGCCACUGACUUGUGAAUUUGGACCAGUCCCUUAUGGGACUGCGUGGUCUCUUGGGGCCCCUGUAGCCCUCAGUGUACUGGUCCAAGCCUCCAAGUCUCUUACCAGCAGUAGGUCCCACAGUGUAGGAACGGUGCUUUCCCUGGGCCAGAUUACAUGUUUGACAGGUGCUGCAGGUUGAAUUGUGUCUGCCUCUCUCCGCCCCCCCCGCCACCAAAAAUGAUAUGUUGAAAUCCAAACCUCAGAAUGUGACUUUAUUUGGAGAUAGUGUUUUUAUAGAGGUAAUCAAGUUAAAAUGAAGUCAUUAGUGUGGGCCCUAAUCUAAUAAAAGGGGAAAAUUGGACACAGACACAGACAUGCAUACAGGGAGAACAGCACCACGUGAAGACACAGAGAGAAGAUGGCCGUCUGCAAGCCAUGGAGAGAAACCUGGAAUAUAUCCUUCCCCCACGGUCCUCAGAAGGAACCAACCCUGCUGAGACCUGGAUCUGGGACUUUUAGCCUCCAGACUGAGACCAAAAAAAAAAAAAAAAAUCUGCUAUUGAAACCAUCCAGUUUGUUGGUACUUUUUAAUCUUUACAACAGCUCUAGAAAAUUAAUACAGCAGAUAAAGCAGAUUUUCCCCAGGAUUUCCUUCACUGGGAGCUGACAGUGUGACAUAUGGCCGUUCCUAGUUACUUAGGUCCCCCCGAGAAUUCCUUUCGCCUCACUUCCCACAGCAGGCGUCAGAGGCUCCAGGGAGAGAGCCACUGUCUCAGUGGUCACUCCUGUCUUCCUAACAGGCAGGUUCUGGAAGCGGAAGGAGAGAGAAGGCUGGUGAUGAAGGGUUUCUUUAUCAGAAGGCUUUAAGUACCUUUCCUGGAACAGGGACUGCAUCAAGUGUCCUCGCCUCAAGGACUCAUCACCAGAGCCUACCUGGGAAAGGGAAACUUUUCUGAUUUACACAGCCCUUCUUAAUGCGUUCUUGUCGCUUAAAAGGAAAGUAAACUUCAGUGCUGAGGUACUAGGCUUAGUCAUAUGGCCUCUCAACGCCCUCUAAUCAGUAUCACUUUGCCAUCGCUAAGGUUUUUGUAAGUCCAUCAACAGCCUCUCACCUCCCCUCAGUUCAUUAUCUCAUAUAGUUAGAGGACCUAUUAUGGGAAAUACGUACUGUCAUCAGCAGCUUAGACAUAAAUUUAUGCUGUGUAUGUAGUUGGUCAAAGUGCCUCUACUCAGCUCAUCACGAUUUUUCCACUAGGACCAAGGAAAUUGCUGUCUGAUUAUUCUCUCCAGCCCCAUCAGUUAAGGAGCCUUGUCUAAUCCAGUGUCUAAAGACUUGACCAAAAUAGGUUUUUGUCUAAAAAGAUUGAUCCUGAAAAAUGAGAUGAAGGGCUGUUCAAAGUGGUUUAGGGAACAAACUUCAUUUCAUCAAAGUACACUGUCUUCCUCAACAAAUCCUUUUUGGUUUAAUUUCUCUGCAGUAAGUUCCACCGCCUGAAUUUGUGCAAAACGUAUAGCAGCUGUGGUAGCAAAGAUGUUGUAUUGGAAAUUAAAUCAAAUGCAUUGAUUUUCUACUGAGAUCCUGGCAUUUUCUUUUUAUUUUUAAUUUUUUUAAAAUGUUUUUAGUGUUAUGUUAAUCACCAUACAUCACAUCAUUAGUUUUGGAUGUAGGGUUCCAUGAUGCAUUGUUUGCGUAUAACACCCGGUGCUCCACGCAGAACGUGCCCUCCUUAACGCCCAUCACCGGGCUAGCCCAUCCCCCCAGCCUCCUCCCCUCUAGAACCCUCAGUGUGUUUCUCAGAGUCCAUCGUCUCUCAUGGUUUCUGGCAUUUUUUUCAUAAAGGUUUUUGCUUUUUUUUUAUUAUUAUUAUUUCAAAGAACUGUUACAGGGAAGCAGCAAGAUGAACAUUGAACAAGAAAUUACCCAAUUCUGUGUUUCCUAAGUUGUUACGUCCUCAACGGGUCAGUCCUCUUUUCUCUUUCCUGUGAAUGCCAGAUCUUAGAGCCACAUGCCUCUUGGACACCUCCACUCAGUUGGCCCCCAGACUCCUCAAACUCAUCCUGUACAGGCAAGUGAGAAAGUGAAAACCACAAUCAUCUUAUCCCACUGAAAUUUGUUUCCUCUUCGCUACCUGGCAUCUCAGGGAGUGGCACCCAUUGAUUGGCCAAAACUGCAACUCCUCCCUCAGUUCCCGUCCUCCAUGACUUUCCCUUCAGUCCCAUAUCAGUAGCCUAAUCUUUUAACUCAAUCUUCUAAAUCUCUACCCUUUCUAGCCUCACCAGCUCUCCAGUGAUUUAGUGGUGUUCUCACUAUAUAACCCGCCUUUGAACAGUAUGCUCCAGAUCCUCAUUCCAUGUUUUGUUUUGAGUGCUCCUGGUUUGCAAACUGUCUUUUUCAUAUGUGCACAAUAAAAUUUUACUAAGUACCACUUCAGGUAUCAAAAGUUCAUAAAAACAGAAGCAAAGCCAACAAAUUACUGAAGGGAAUAUCUGGCAUUCACAGGAGAGGUCUGGCCUGGAGAAAUGUGGUCCCAUCUCUAACCCCUUGCAACCCCUAAUCUGCUCUUCAUCUCUGUAAUAUUGUCAUUUCAAGAAUGUUACAUAAAUGGAAUCAUACAGUAUGCAGGCUGUCCUGUGUAUCAUUAGUUCGUUCCUGGUUAGUGGUCAGUGGAAUCCCACAUUAUGACUGCUAACCUCAGUUUCUUUAUUCACACACUGGAGGACACUUCAGUUGUUUCCAGUUUGGGACUAUUACAAAUAAAGCU
ensembl:lncRNA